AGAGGAAUGAGUGAAGAAAACAACUUACGAAAUUGUUGUGAUAUGCACCAAACUAAUGGCUUCUUCUCAUAGAAUCUCGUUUAUUUGGGUUGUUUUCUUUCUUUGUGUGUUAGGUUUCUUAUGUGCUCGGGCAACAGCACUGAACCUAGAUGGUGCUUCUGGGUUUCUAGCAAGAUCUGAAAAAGCUCAAAGUAGAAGGCUACUUAAUAAACCUAUACCUGCACGUCCUUGUUGUCACAAUUAUCGCCCAUGAAGUGGCUGCUGUGCUACGCGGUUGAAAGAAUAAGGAGAACUAAAGAUAUGUUAGAUUCCAGUCUAUAAUUAUUUGUGAUUGGUUUGAAUGUUGCAAUUGGUUAUACGUUUAUAUUAAUGCGAUAGUAUGUUUUGGAGAGGUGUUCAUCAUCUUUUAUCGUGCUUUUGUAAGUGAAAAAUGUGAUAUUAAUUAUUAAAGAAUCACCAUAUCUAUUGUUGUUUUA